CACGUAGGGUGCGAGCGUUGUCCGGAAUUAUUGGGCGUAAAGAGCUCGUAGGCGGUGUGUCGCGUCGGCCGUGAAAACCUGCAGCUUAACUGUGGGCUUGCGGUCGAUACGGGCAUCACUGGAGUUCGGCAGGGGAGACUGGAAUUCCUGGUGUAGCGGUGAAAUGCGCAGAUAUCAGGAGGAACACCGGUGGCGAAGGCGGAUCUCUGGGCCUUACCUGACGCUGAGGCGCGAAAGCGUGGGAGCAAACAGG
rnacentral:rRNA from 1 species